rnacentral:tRNA from 1 species
GCCUGGGUGGCUCAGUCGGUUAAGCGUCCGACUUCGGCUCAGGUCAUGAUCUCACGGUUUCGUGGGUUCGAGCCCCAUGUCGGGCU